rnacentral:rRNA from 1 species
GGUUGCUAACAAGGGUAUAUGGUGGAUGCCUAGACACUAAAAGACGAUGAAGGACGUAGCAAUCUGCGAUAAGCUUCGGGGAGAUGAUAAGCAAUCUAUAAUCCGAAGAUUUCCGAAUGGGGAAACCCUUCCGUUUGAAGAACGGAAACCACUAACUGAAUACAUAGGUUAGUUGGAGGUAACCUGGGGAAUUGAAACAUCUUAGUACCCAGAGGAAAAGAAAGAAUUAAUGUACUUAUUAGAGUUAUUGAUAAUUUUUAAUUAUCAUUAGCUUUAAUCAGUAUCUCGAUUCCCUGAGUAGCGGCGAGCGAAAUGGGAAAAGCUCAAACCUUAAAUAAGAUAAAAUAUCUUGAUUUUUAUUUCGGUAAAAUGAUAGGUAUGGAAAUAAUUACAAGUUUAAUGCUGUUUAAGGAGUUAUAAGAAGCUAUUAUUUUACAGCUUGUAGAUGUAAAGCAUAAGUAUUAUUUUUUAGUAGAAUAGUCUGGAAAGGCUAACUAUAAAAGGUGAUAGUCCUGUAAACAAAAAGAAAUAAUAAAAUGAAAUAGUUUUCUUGAGUACCACGGAGCUGGUGAAACUUUGUGGGAAAUCGGCGUCACUAUGCGCCAAAGCUAAAUACUUUUAGUGAUCGAUAGUGAACUAGUACCGUGAGGGAAAGGUGAAAAGUAUCCCGAGAGGGAGAUGAAAUAGUAUCUGAAACCAUAUACUUACAAGGAGUUGGAGCCCUAUUCUGCUUGCAGAAGGGUGACAGCGUGCCUAUUGAAGAAUGAGCCAACGAGUUAGCUGUAUGCAGCUUAUUUAACUCCUUCGGGAGGUAGGUGAAGUGAAAGCAAGGAUUAAUAGUCCGUAUAUUACUUAAUGCUUUGUAGCUAUUUAUAGCUACAAAGCACAUAGUAAUAAGGCUGUAUGCACUAGACCCGAAACCAGGUGAGCUUGCCAUGACCAGGGUGAAGCGACCGUAACAAGUCGUGGAGGCCCGAACCCACUAGUCGUGCAACACUAGGGGAUGAGUUGUGGUAAGAGGUGAAAUGCUAAUCGAACCUGGCAAUAGCUGGUUCUCCUCGAAAUAGUUUUAGGACUAGCCUCUUGAGUUAAGUUUUGGUGGUAGAGCACUGGCUGGAAUGAGGUGACAUUACGUUCAUACUCGUUUCAAUCAAACUCCGAAUGCCAUUACGUAUUUCAAGGGAGUCAGACCAUGAGGGCUAAGCUUCAUUGGUCAAAAGGGAAACAGCCCAGAUCUCAGUCUAAGGUCCCUAAAUUUAAGUUAAGUGUGAAAGGUGGUGUCGUGACUUAUACAACUAGGAGGUUGGCUUAGAAGCAGCCAUCCUUUAAAGAUAGCGUAACAGCUCACUAGUCAAGUUACUUCGCGCCGAAAAUUUAACGGGGCUAAACUUAAUACCGAAGACGAGAGUUUUUAUCUUUUAGAUAAAAGCGGUAGAGGAGCGUUCUAUAUGUGCUGAAGCAGUACCGUAAGGAGCUGUGGAAUGUAUAGAAGUGAGAAUGUUGGCAUGAGUAGCAAAAAUCCAGGUGAGAAUCCUGGACACCGUAAACCCAAGGUUUCCUGGGCAACGUGAAUCAACCCAGGGUUAGGCAGUCCUAAGGCGAGGCCGAAAGGCGUAGUCGAUGGAUAAGCAGGUUAAUAUUCCUGCUCUACUGCUAUUUUUCGAUGGGGGGACGUAAUUUGGAAUUUUUCGCGUUAUUUGGUUAUGAACGUUGAUUAUUAUUAGUGUGUUUCUUAGGUAAAUCCGGGAAACAUCAGCAUGAAAAUAAUCAAGAGAUUAAGACUUCGGUCAAAAUCAAUGAAAAAUAAAUAAUUACCUAGAAAAACCUCUAGAUUUAAGAUAGUAGUAACUGUACCGUAAACCGACACAGGUGGGUGAGGAGAGUAUCCUCAGGUGUACGAGAGAACCUUCCUUUAGGAACUCGGCAAAACAGCGGCCGUAACCUAGGGAUAAGGCCUGCCCAGCAUUAGCUGGGCCGCAGCGAAAGACUUCGAGCGACUGUUUACCAAAAACACAGGUCCCUGCUAAACCGUAAGGUGAUGUAUAGGGGCUGAUGCCUGGCCAGUGUCCGAACGUUAAGGGGAUGGGUUAACGCCUUGAACUGAAGCGCGGAUGAACGCCGGCCGUAACUAUAACGGUCCUAAGGUAGCGAAAUUCCUUGACGGGUAAGUUCCGUCCUGCACGAAUGGCAUAACGACUUGAAGACUGUCUCAAGGAAGGACUCGGCGAAAUUGCAAUACGAGUAAAGAUGCUCGUUAACCGUAGCCGGACGAAAAGACCCCGUGAAGCUUUACUAUAGUUUGGUAUUGAAUUAGGGUUAUACUUGUUCAGGAUAGGUGGUAAGCUUUGAAGCUUAAACGUUAGUUUAAGUGGAGCUAACCUUGAGAUACCACCCUUGUAUAAUUUUAAUUCUAACUCUAUUCCAUGAAUCUGGAAUGAGGACAGUAUCUGAUGGGUAGUUUAACUGGGGCGGUUGCCUCCCAAAAUGUAACGGAGGCGUUUACAAAGGUUGGCUAACUCCUGAUGGAAAUAGGAGUCGUCGUGCAAACGCAUAAGCCAGCUUUACUGCAAGAGCUACAACUCGAGCAGUUGCGAAAGCAGAAGUUAGUGAUCCGACCGUACGAAAUAGGACGGCGGAAGCUCAACGGAUAAAAGUUACUCCGGGGAUAACAGGCUGAUCAGAUCCAAGAGUCCACAUCGACGAUCUGGUUUGGCACCUCGAUGUCGGCUCAUCGCAUCCUGGGGGUGGAGAAGCUCCCAAGGGUUAGGCUGUUCGCCUAUUAAAGCGGUACGCGAGCUGGGUUCAGAACGUCGUGAGACAGUUCGGUCUCCUAUCCGCUACGGUCGUUGAAUUUUGAGGAAAUUUCUUUCUAGUACGAGAGGACC